UACAGAGGUCUCAAGCGUUGUUCGGAUUCAUUGGGCGUAAAGGGUGCGUAGGUGGCGCUGUAAGUCAGGUGUGAAAUUUCGGAGCUUAACUCCGAAACUGCAUUUGAUACUGCGGUGCUUGAGGACUGGAGAGGAGACUGGAAUUUACGGUGUAGCAGUGAAAUGCGUAGAGAUCGUAAGGAAGACCAGUGGCGAAGGCGGGUCUCGGGACAGUUCCUGACACUGAGGCACGAAGGCCAGGGGAGCAAACGGG
rnacentral:rRNA from 1 species